CCUACGGGUGGCAGCAGUGAGGAAUAUUGGUCAAUGGGCGUAAGCCUGAACCAGCCAAGUCGCGUGAGGGAUGAAGGUUCUAUGGAUCGUAAACCUCUUUUAUAAGGGAAUAAAGUGUGGGACGUGUCCUGUUUUGUCUGUCCCUUAUGAAUAAGGAUCGGCUAACUCCGUGCCAGCAGCCGCGGUAAUACGGAGGAUCCGAGCGUUAUCCGGAUUUAUUGGGUUUAAAGGGUGCGUAGGCGGCCGUUUAAGUCAGCGGUGAAAGUCGGUGGCUCAACCAUAGAAUUGCCGUUGACACUGGGAGGCUUGAGUAUGUUUGAGGCAGGCGGAAUGCGUGGUGUAGCGGUGAAAUGCUUAGAUAUCAGGCAGAACCCCGAUUGCGAAGGCAGCCUGCCAAGCCAUGACUGACGCUGAUGCACGAAAGCGUGGGGAUCAAACAGGAUUAGAUACCCCAGUAGUC
rnacentral:rRNA from 1 species